GGCCUAUGAUGUAGAAAAUUUGUCCGUACCAUCUGAGAAGUAAUUCGAUGGAGCAUUCAAUCAAACAUUAUGUUCUGAGGCCU